CUCCCGUCUCUUCUACCCGAACCCCCCCUCCCCCCCCAAGCAGAGAGACCCCAGCAGCAGCAGCAGCUGAUGAUGAAGAGAGAGGCAGUGGCAGAGGGGGGGCACCUUUUAUUUCUAUUUUUAAAGGGACAGGACACUAAUUUUACCCCACUUCAACCUUGAAUUGAGGGGGCUGGGGGGAAGGCGGCUGAGUUCCUUCCCCCACCCUCCAGCCCUAAGCCCUGAGAGGGGGAUUGAGCCUGAGAGAAGGAGUUUCUUCUUCUUCGAAAACCCCCAUCCACGACUACUACCCCCUCACCCCUCCACUAGCCUCCCUCCCGAGCCCCCUCCACCCUCCUCCUCUUUGGCCGUGAGAGGAGGAGAGAAAGAGACCAAAAGCCUCUUAGCAACACAGACCCUUCUCUGCUGCUGCUGCUGCUGCUGCUGCUGCUGCUGCUACUGCUGCUGCUUGGCCCUGGCUGGAGACAUCUCACUACACCCAGGAGCAGCCACUUCCCCAGCUCUCCUCCUCCUUCGCCUCCUCCUCCUCCACUCCCCCCUUUAUUACCCUUUGUGUCAUCCUCCACAGCUCCAGGGAAGGCACUCAAAAGUGGGGGGCAGGAAAGAUGCUUAUUGAGGAUAUCAGUUUCUGCAUGUGGGAAGUAGAUAUUGAAGGUUAUAUGGUUUACAGACAAGAUCUUUAAAAGAUAGGCACUCCAGGUUCUUCCAGCCCCUCCUUCCCCCCGACCAUGUGUACUGAUGACACCUGAUGCUCUCACCACCUACAGGACCAAGGAAAUAAAUACCAGAAGCCAAGAGCACAGAAUAUUUUCCUUCAUCAAUCCACAAACCCUGAUACUUCUCUAAUUCCAUCAAACACAAAGGAAUGAUCACCUUUGCAGAUGGCCACAGAGGAUGUCAGCAAUUUUUUGGAGGCAAGCAAUGAAAUAUUUGUGCUAUGAGUUUUCUGUUAUUAAGUAUGUAGAAACAAGUAAAAUUGUUUUGCAUUUUAAUGAAAAAAUAAAAAGUGUUCUUUAAUAUAGCAAUUUAUGUAAGGAUAGCUAAGCUAUUUCUCUCUUCCAUUUUUUUUUUCUUUUUUUUUGGGCACUGUGGCAAGUCGGAAAAUGCAUUAAGCUGCUUUUGUGUAUUGUUACGUAGUACAGAGCUACAUUAAAUCCCUAAAUACACAAUAAAAAUUUAAAUAACAGAAAUUAAGUACCCAUAUUUGAAAACACAGCUCUUUUCUAUCAUGGGCACACAUAUCAUACAACUACAAAUACUAAACAGUUUAGGAAGUUAGAGUUAUUUUCUAUUUAUUUUACAAUUUUCCAUACCAUGUAUGAAUUUUUUUAUUUAACUCCAGCAUUUUUUUUCACUUAUUUUUGACAACUAUUCUAAAGUGCUCCAAAAUCUUGGGAAGUCAUCCCUUUAUAUUCCUCACAGCUUUCUUUUUGUGAGAAUCCCGCAUCAAACGAUCUCAUUGAACUUUUAGUUACUUUCUUAGCAGCUCUUAGUCCUCUUGGAAGAACAGUUGGCCAAGAAUUGUGGAGCACAGUUCUAUUUUCAAAACCGAAAUUAAUUACAUUACCCUUUGAAGGGAAAGUUUGCUUGGAAAGAAAUUGACUGUAUUUUAAAGAAAAAAAUUUAAAUGUAAAGUAUCUGCCUUCUCUGUCUUCAUGAAAAAGACUUAAGUAGAGGAAUAUAAAAUGAAAUAAAAGUAAACAUAAAAAAUUUAAGUGGAAUGCACUAAAAUUGAACUUUUCAAAGGAUUUUAUAAAAGAAACUAUAGAUAUGCUCAGAAUUUUUUAUUUAAUCUUAGUAACUCAUAGGCCUUAGGUCAUCCAGCAAACGAGCCUACUUUUUAAGUUGUACAUAGAGGAAUACUUUCUACGUAAAGGAGCCUAUAAAUGUUUAAAGAGCCCAGUGUAGAGCUGAGUUUUCUUUCAGUAACUGGAGUCAAAAUUAAUUCUUACUCUUCUGUUGGGGAAAAUUUCAUCUAAUUAUGUUAAAAUUAUUCUGCAACUUUUUGGACAGCAGAUCCUGAUCACCAAAGAAAAGAAAAAGCAGCUGAGUUGCAGUGGCCUAACAGUUAUCAAAAUAGUAUUAUUAUGCAGUCACCUGGCUUUGUGGAAUGUUAGUGGUUAUCCACUGGCUGCCUUCUGGCAGAGACACACCUAAACCUUUCUGAACUGCUGAUAAUGUAUGCCUUCUGUUUGUAAGGAUCUUCAAAGAAAUAGAUUCCACUGCUUCCUUCAAGAAACUAAUCUAAUUUAACAGCGUCCGGAGUGGGAAGUUCUUUCUUAUAACCCUUUGCACACUUUUAUUAAGUGACUGUUUAUAAAACUUCUUUUCUCAGAAUUAUACUUUAAUCGUGAUUUAAAUCUUUUCUUAGUUUGAUAUAAUCCACUUAACUAUUUUAAAAAAUAUUUAAAAUUGAUUAUUGCUAAAUUACUGAAGAGAGUUCCCAUAAACAGUCCUUCUCCAUAAGCAACCUAUUAUCAGAUUUCUCUGUUUCUUUUUUUCAUUCAUCCACAUAUAGUAUCUUAUUUUGAUUUUAAGUUAUUCUUUAACCACAACAACAUAUCUUGUGUCAGCUCUAAUUUAUAUUUCUUCUACGUUCUAUUAAGAAGCCUUUUGUUCUCUUUGAAUUGCAUUCUAUUUAUGACCAUGUCAUUAAUAAGCCACAGAUAUUUAUAUUCUAAUUGAUAAAGUGCUGACUGUUUCAUUUAUUUCCUAUAUUUUAAGGUUUAUUUUCAAAUUAAAGUGGUAAAAACUUUCAGUAGUUAGAAUGGCAACUAGAACAUAGCAGGCAUGACUUAGAAGUUUGCUGUACAAGAAAACAAGUUCACAGAACAGAGUGACUGAUAAACCACAACUGUGCCACACCAACCAGCUGUGUGACCUUGGGCAAAUUAGUGAUUCUUUUUGACCCCCAAUUUGUACAUCUUUAAAAUUUGGAUGCUAAUAAUAAUAUGACUGUAAGGAUUAAAUAGGAUAGAUAACAUAAGUAACAAUCUUGGGUACCUAGCACUUGCCUAGGACAUAAUUCAAUAAAUAGGUGAUGUAAUUAUUCUACUUUUUGUGAAAUGAUUAAAAACAGGUUUCCUCAUAGUAAGCUCAACUCUUGCAAAAGAAAUAAUGAAUUUGUUGGAUAUACUCAUGCCACAUUCCUUUUACAUCAUUAUGUCUGUUGUACUGCUACUAAAUUUUGUUUGCAUUGAAGUUUCCCAACAAGAAAUUUAAGAUUUAUGUUUAAACAUGUGAAAAUGCAAUUUAUCCAGAAAUCACUGUUAAAAAACGUAGUUGUUCAAAAAAAAAAGAGAUUGUUAACCUUUUAGUCACAUGAAACCUGUGUAUAUUCCAAGUUUUGCAAGAAAUUUUACUUGGGUAUUCAUGAACUCACUACCUGUUCUAAAAUUUUCACUUUAUAUCAACCACUAUUAUUUGGAGAAAUAUUUCAUAUGCAAGGCAAACUGAUUUGAAGAAUCUUCUUCUUGAGAUUAAAUAUCUUUUAUGUAUGCAUUGAUCAAAAAUUUAUUUAGUCUGAGAAACUGAUUUGAUAUUUCCACUUGAACAAUAAAAGUAAACAGACAAUUUGGUUCUCUGUAUUAGUUUCCUAGGUCUGCUGUAACAAAUUACCACAAACUGGGUGGUUUAAAUUAGCAAAAAUGUAUCCUCUCACAGUUCUUGGGCUAGGAGUCUGAAAUCAAGUUGUCCAUAGGGCCAUGCUCUUUUGAAGGCUCUAGGGGAGAAUCUGUUCUAUGCCUUUCUCUUGGCUUCUGGUGUUUCUGGCAAUCCUUGGCUUAUCGACUCAUCACUUCAAUUGCUACAUCCUUCAUCACAUGGUUUUCUCCCUGUAUGUUUGUGUCUCCAAUCCUCUUAUAAGGACACAGUCAUAGUGUAUUAGGGCCUACCCUAAUUCAACAUGACCUCAUCUUAACUUGAUUACAUCUGCAAAGACCCUAUUUCCAAAUAAGGUCACGUUCACCCAUGUCCAAGGUUAGAAUUUGAAUAUAUCUUUUGAGAGGAACAAAGUUCAACCCGUAACAAUGUUUUGUUUUGUUUUGUUUUUAACUGAAAAUAAAAUUAGGGAAGAAAAAUUGAUUUUAAAAACAGUUUUCUUCUCCUAGGAAAGAGCUUGUUUCACUUGUGACAAGACAUGAGCCACGAGUAGAUGUUCAUGUUUUGCUUCUAAUGAUUUGGCAGUACUGUUUCCUGAACAUAGAUAGUUUCUUGAUAAUA